rnacentral:rRNA from 1 species
GGAGAGAAUAAGAAAAAUAAUUUUCGUAAUUUUAGUAAUUUUUAAUGAAAAUAAAGUAAAGACUAAAGAGAAAAGUACUGUGAAGGAAAGUUGUUAAAACUUUUUAUAGAAGAAGUAAAAUUUUGUGCCUCGUGUAUCAGAAAAAGUUUAUAUAGUUUAAUUACAAUAAGUAUCUCGAAAUAAAAUACAGUAAUUUUUAUAAAAUUUUCUUUUUAGAAAAAAAGAAUUUAAUAUAAAAUUUAAAGUGAAAUGCUAGCUGAGUUUUAUGAUAUCUAGUUUUUUUAAAAAUAAAUUUAAUUUAAUUUUUAUAAAGAAAAAGUUAUAAAAUUAAAUGGUAGGGGGGAUUAGCUCUUUACGGAAAAGAUAAUGAAAUAGUUAAAUAAAAGUAAAUUAUAUAAAUUAGGCUUAGAAGUAGCUAUAUUGAAAAAGUGUUUUAACUAAAUUAUAAUUGCUUGAAUAUUUAAAAUAAAACUUUUCUUAGGUAUAAAAAAAUGGCUUAAACAAAACAAAACAAGAUAUGAUGAUUUUAUUAGUAAAAUUUAUUGAGUAAAUAAAGAUAUUAAAAAGUAAAAAUUGUUUAAAAAAAUAAGUA